UUGAUAUUCGUGGCCUCAGGGCAGACACCACAGGAAAAACAUCCCCUGCCUUUCUGGAGACCAUCCCUGCUCUGCCACUGGCCAACAACACGCUGCUCACCACCGACAGGUGCUCAGCCUCCCUCAGCUCCUUCUCUCCUUGAGUUGUUGUGACACACACAAGAAGGGUCUCCUGCCCAUCACAAGAGACUUAUUUUUGUAUACUCAGAGGAGGGAAAAAUCUGUGCAAACAUCCAAAUCCAGCGAAGUUCAGCCUGACAAAGCACUGAUCCCUGUGGAACCAUGGUUGCUGUCUCUUCAGGGAGAAGCUCUGGAUGCUGAUGCAUCCCCAUCCACUUCUGUUCCUCCUAACUAGGUGCAUUGUCAGCUCUGUGGUCUCUCCCUUACCUGUGAAAGUGUUCUCCCUCAGAGGGAGGAUUUUCAUUGCUUAUGCAACCUGAAUCUGCCCAAGCCCAACUGCUGCACAGGGGGAGAUGCAUGCCUUGUUAGGCUUUGGUCUGGACCACCGCAGCACCCUCCUGCCUCUGUUAAGACUAAAAGCAAUCUAAUCUACCUGUCUAGACAAGGCUCUGCUCUAGUCUGAUCCCUCUACUUGGUGUUGCUUGUGACAUCCAGAAAUUUGACAAGGAAAGCAAUUAUUGAUCAGUCCAAGGUGUGUUUUGCUGUGAUAGUUGUCUAAGCAUGACUGAGUGAUGCCCCAAUAGAUAGGUGCUUUCUUAUUUCCUAAGGCAUGUCGUCCUCAAAGCA